rnacentral:rRNA from 1 species
CAUCUAGGCGGUAUAUCAAGUCAGGGGUGAAAACUUACGGCUCAACCGUGAGCUUGCCUUUGAAACUGAAAUACUGGAGUACCGGAGAGGUGGGCGGAACUACACGAGUAGAGGUGAAAUUCGUAGAUAUGUGUAGGAAUGCCGAUGAUGAAGAUAGCUCACUGGACGGCAACUGACGCUGAAGUGCGAAAGCUAGGGGAGCGAACA